AUAAAAUCAAGGACCUUAGCUGUGCAUUCAUUAAUUUAUAGGAGUAAUCCAUCCAGAUUAAAGCAGUUAUAGAAGAGUGAAAUUAUGAGGUAGCAACACCACAUUUUAUUUUGUGUGGUUUAGGUCACUUGCACUCCAUGUCACCAUAACUGAUAUGGUACAAUAAAAUUUACCAUCAAAUAUUUGAAGUCAACUAAUCUUGGAGUUUUUG
rnacentral:misc_RNA from 1 species